CCUACGGGAGGCAGCAGUGGGGAAUAUUGCACAAUGGGCGAAAGCCUGAUGCAGCAACGCCGCGUGAGCGAUGAAGGCUUUCGGCUCGUAAAGCACUAUCCUCAAGGAAGAUAAUGACGGUACUUGAGCAAGAAUCCCCGGCUAACUACGUGCCAGCAGCCGCGGUAAUACGUAGGGGGCUAGCGUUAUCCGGAAUUACUGGGGGUAAAGGGUGUGUAGGUGGAUUGUUAAGUCAGAGGUGAAAGGCUAGGGCUCAACCGUAGUAAGCCUUUGAAACUGGGAGACUUGAGUGCAGGAGAGGAGAGUGGAAUUCCUAGUGUAGCGGUGAAAUGCGUAGAUAUUAGGAGGAACACCAGUGGCGAAGGCGGCUUGCUGGACUGUAACUGACACUGAGGCACGAAGGCGUGGGGAGCAAACAGGAUUAGAUACCCUGGUAGUC
rnacentral:rRNA from 1 species